rnacentral:rRNA from 1 species
GGUGAGGUUAAACGUACUUUCAGGGUAGGGGUAAAAUCCUGUAAUCCCGGAAGGACGACCAGUGGCGAAAGCGUUUAACUAGAACGAAUCUGACGGUAAGGAACGAAGGCUAGGGUAGCAAACCGGAUUAGAUACCCGGGUAGUCCUAGCUGUAAACAUUGCCCAUUUGAUGUUGCUUUCCCGUUGAGGGAAGGCAGUGUCGGAGCGAAGGUGUUAAAUGGGCCGCUUGGGAAGUAUGGUCGCAAGACUGAAACUUAAAGGAAUUGGCGGGGGAGCACCGCAACGGGAGGAAUGUGCGGUUUAAUUGGAUUCAACGCCGGAAAACUCACCGGGAACGACCUGUGCAUGAGAGUCAACUUGACGAGCUUACUCGAUAGCAGGAGAGGUGGUGCAUGGCCCGUCGUCGGCUCGUACCGUAGGGCGUUCACUUAAGUGUGAUAACGAGCGAGACCCACAUCUUUAAUCGCAAAUGUAUAUGGGAAUAUGCAUGCACUUUAGAGAAACCGCCAGCGCUAAGCUGGAGGAAGGAGUGGUCGACGGCAGGUCAGUACGCCCCGAAUUUCCCGGGCUACACGCGCAUUACAAAGAACGGGACAAUACGUUGCAACCUCGAAAGAGGGAGCCAAUCGC